rnacentral:lncRNA from 1 species
UAUCAUAUAGCACCUCUAAAUUUAAUUGUCCAAAUUUAUAAAUUGCAUCUUUUAAUUACAGUAUUCUGGAGAGCAGGAAAAAUCAGCCAAGAUUUGAGUCUUUAACUAGUUCUAAGAAGUGAUAGGUCCACGGGGAAACUCAUCUAACCAUAUAGUAGCUUUCUUUAUUAGAGAGAAUGGGAAUAAUCUCAGGCGUAUCG